CUGACAUGAAGGAACCUCAGGCCAUAAACUUCAAAAGCAUGGAUGAUGGGCACCUGGUGUUCCCCAAAAGAAGAGAGAGCUCUUGCCUGCUGAACUAGAGACACCUGCCAUGAACAAAGGGCUCCUGAUGGUGACAACCAGGACAAGAGACAAAACAGGAAAUAUCAGGAGAGACCCAGGGGUGCCAGGUGGGCUCUGAAGGAGCAGGAGACACUGGUGGCAAAGGAUCUGCAGGAAAGAGGAGAGGUGUGAGAUUUGCUGUCAGCUGGGAGAAAUCCUGCAGCCAUGAAGAGCCUGCCCAGGUGGGGCUGCUCAAAGCCCCAAGUGCUGCCCAUCACCUGCAGCACCUUCAGCUCCCCAUGACCCCAGCAGUGCUUUCUU
rnacentral:lncRNA from 12 species